UGUUCUCGCUCCCUCUGCUGCUCUUCAUCUAAGAUAGAGAAAGGGGAAAACAGAGGUGAAUGGCGCCUGGCGGCCUUCUCGACGUAGACCUCCAGCUCCUUCCUGAGUCGCUCAUUCUCCCGCAUCAACACGUCAGUCUGAGUUGAGUUAUUGCUGGAGGCUGCGGUGAUGCUGUUGUGAGCCAUCUGAGACUGGGUAGACACAUAUCUGCUGAGGGGAGACAUGAGUAAUUCAUUACAACACUGCUCAAACCACACCAUCCUGGAAAUACUGAGCGAAAGAAUAGUUAAAUAAAUUAAAUCAUAAUUCCA